UGAGACUGCUUGUUUCUGGUGU
rnacentral:snRNA from 1 species